CAAACUCAAACCUACCCACUUUCUCUCACAUAACAGCACCAAGAGAGAGGACUAUAUAGUGUUAAACCCUCAACACACCCAACAAUUCAGAAGAAGAAGAAGGGUUUGGUUAUUCCACUGCAACUGGAGGAGGCAUCCAAAGGGAUCGCAUUGAUCCAAAAUCCAACCUUUCAUAUUCUCUCUUUCCCACUCACAAUAUUUGGGAUCAUGCUAUCCUUUUGGAUUUCUCCUUCAGUGGCUUCUAUAACCCCAUGCUUUUUCCUGCACCACAACUUAUCAUCCAUUCUCUGCCUCAAACACAAUCGCACAAUUCAUUUCAUUUCUGUCUUUGAUUGCCUUAAUUGUUUCACGUUUCUAAGCUUUCUUGAAUCUGUAUUCCUUUUCUGAAAAGAGCCACCGGAUCGAUCCGACCCUCCAGGUAAUUAGUUUUGCAAGUUUUUUCUGUCAUCUUCCUUUUUUUUUUUUCAUACAGUAGUUGCUUUAUGUUUUCGCGAUGUAUUGUUUUCCAUGAAUGUUAGUUAUGUGUCAGUUUAUGUGUGAAAGUGUCAUAUACACAUACUAAGUACAUGAAUAUAUCUCAGAGUGAGGUCACUCUCUGAAGCCAGACAUAUAUUAUACGCUUAAAAGUUAAAAUUACAACCUAACUUAGCUUUUAUAGGUGAAGUACACAUGGGGAGACCCUUUUGCAGUUUUUGUGUUAAGAUUAAGAACCAUUGGGAUGUUUCUUUUCUAUGAUGCACCACUCUUCAUAGUUUCUUGCCUCAUCUUAAUCAAUCAGCAUCCUUUAAGGGCUUAUGUUAUUGUUAGAAUAAGAGAAAGAAAAAUCUAAUUUAUGUUAUCUGCAAGUGCUACAGAUGCGCAUAUUCUGGCUUUAAGAAGUAGAGGGUGGCACUGUUAGAAAAAUAGAAAUCAUGAUUAAGUACAAUAAGAAAGUGGGAGCAAGCUAUUUAGCAAUCAGUACUACGAAUAAAACAGUACCAAAUGAUUGAUGGGAAGGAAAUGAUUCUAUGUAUUUUGGCUUGGUAAAAAUCAUAUCUACCCCAUUUUGGAAGCUUUUGAUGAUUACAUGUAUCCAACAGAUUGAUUUUACCUUUUGAUAAAGUGGCUUUUUUUGGUUUCCAACGAAAUCAAAUCUUUUCUGUAUAUAUUACACCUAACUUGAUGAGGUUUUCUGGUCACAGUUAGUUGUGUUUGUGUUGAGAUGAAAAUGUUGGAAUAGUUUCCAUGGCCACGCAGUAGCAUAGUGGUGGCCCUCACCUGCGUCAAUUAUACUCCAAAAACUCUUGCUUUUAUGGACUUUAAAUUAGAAUCCAAGGCAUUAGAAGUCAAUUACACUUGUAACUUUGGGCCUCACAACUCGUGUUCAAAGUUCAAACCGUCACUGAUACAUGUGCUGAGACAAGUUAAGAAUUAAAAGUGAAGAAAAAGUCUUGCAAACGUUGUUUAUUUUUUAAAUAAAAGGAUCAUUUUUUUUUCCUUUUUCCUAUUCUUGGCACAUGUACCCAACAUUCUAGCAUAAACCCACCUAUUCUUCAUUAUCCCUUUAA